UUUGUCCAGCGUCCACGUGUGUCAUUCAGGAUCUUCAAACUAUCUAGUAUCGUGUCACCGGUCACCACGGAGAAAAGAUAAGACAGAGAAAGCAUAUGCACAUCUUGUGGUGUCUCUGGAUUCAGAUGGUGACGAACGAAGGUUAGUCAACCGCGGGCGAAUUAGGAACCACUACAGGCCAGGAAACCAAUGGGGUAACAGUCGGCGCGGAUAAGGCGACGGGAAGGGGUCAUGGUCAAUUAUCAUCGGACUUGGCUUCAAUGAUGAGGCUAGUAAGGGACUUGGACAAGUCAGAACAUGGUAUUAACAUUUUUAGCAUUUCACAUAUUUAGGAUUUGAUUUCUUUUACAAAAUUGUUGGAACCACUAUUUCCUCAACAUUUGUGCACAGGCAUCUUGGAAUCCUGAAGGAUCAUGAAGGGAGGAAACCUCACGGAAUUCAUGUUGAUUAAUAUGACACCGAAGGUUCCUAAAAAAUGAAGGGAAACCAA